AUGACUCCUGCAAAAAGGGUAGCCAGAAAAAGGGGGGUCAUUCUGCCAUCAAUGAGGCAGUGACCUGAGGAUACACCAUCAACAUUCACAGGUGCAUCCAUGGAGUGGGCUUCAAGAAGAAUACCCCUCAGGCACUCAAGAGAGAUCCAGAAAUCUGCCAUGAUGGAGAUGGGGACUCCAGAUGUACGCACUAAUACUAGGCUCAACAAAUGUCUGGGUGAAAGGAAGGGCCGUACCACAUCCAUGUUUAUCGUGCAGAAAACAUAAUGAGGGUGAAGGUUCAGCAAACAAACUCUAUACUUUGGUUUAACUAUGUACCUGUGACCACUUUCAAACAUCUAUAGACAGUCAAUGUGGGUGAGAGCC
rnacentral:lncRNA from 1 species